rnacentral:lncRNA from 1 species
GGACGGACUGGCUCGGCUGAGUACUGCUGACUGUGCCUGCGUGGCUGUGCUUGGGCAGGGGCCACACACUUGAAUUCUACUUGCGGCACGCGGGUUUUCCCCGUCCACUUGUUCUGGGACUGGGUUGUAGGAGAACUGGUGGGCUGAGUAGUUGGACGGGACCAUCGCCCUUUCGAAUGACCUCGGCGCGUGGCAUCCCCACCUUGUCUGUACUUUAUUUAUCAAAGCUACUGUGCCUGUCAUCACUUGCUGGAUCAAUUUCCAUUCCUUUCUUAUAUUGGCUUUUUAAUUGUGGGUGUCUUUUGUGGUGGGGCUAAUCAAUUUUUCAUGGCUUGAUGUUUUUUUUAAGACAGUCAUGCCUAAGAGCAUCUCCAACAGCAUACUCAUAUUUUAUAGAAUAUCCAAAAACUGUCAAUACGUGUAUUUUGUCCCAAAAUACGUCUCUAACAGCGUACCCAUAAAUUUCGGAUAACCAAAUUAUUUUUGAUAGCUAUUCAUAUUGGAGGUUAAAAUAUGGUAGCUGUCCAAAACACCCGACCAGUGGCGGGACGGCCAACUGCCUCGUUCCGGCCAUUUCCGAGCCGGCGCCGGUCUCCGAUUCCGGCGGCCGGACCGCGCCGCCGCCGACCACCGCUGUCCUCCCACCGUAGCCGACCCCUCCGCCACCUCCCUGGGUGCCCCCGCCGGCGUUCCCCUGCCCCCGUUCGGCUUAGCCCCGGCCGCAUCGGGUGCCGCCGCUGGCGGGGCCGCCCCCAACUGCUGCCCCGCGCCUGGCGCCACCGUAGCCAGACGGGGAGAGGAAGAAGAGCAGGGGCCGCCCGCUCCCUCUGCCCCGCGUCCCCAAGGCGCGACGGUGGCUCGCGCGGUGCCGAUGCCGGCAGGCGCCUCGCGGCCCUCGUCCGAGCCUGCGGUGGCCUCCGUCAGCCCUCGUCCAAGCCUUCCGCGGCCUCUGCCGGCCUCGCCGCUGCAUUCCACCGCCCGAGAUGGCUGCCGCCGCCACCUGCGCCCUCGGCCACGCACCGCGCUGCAGCCGCCUGCGCCUCCGUGUGCAGCUCUGCUCGUACCGCGCCGCCACCGCCCGUGCCCUGGGUCCCCGCCUGUGUGCCAGAGGGCGCCAUGCCGCUCAGCUCUGCUCAGAGGAAGGAGAAACUUUUUAGUGUUACGAUGUUGGAAAUGUUCCUAUGGGUUGUUAUGUUAGUCUUGUUUGGCAGGGUGCAGGCUUGUCCUGACGUAAUCAACUACUGCAAAAGUGAAGUGCCGUCCACUCGGUUUUGUCUAAACUCUGUUCCAUUUGGUACAAGGAGAACCAACGGAUGCCGUUCUUUUCUCGAUUGGGAUAGGAAGGAAGGAUGUGAUGCUAUGAGUGAACAAGCCACUUGUAUUUUAUUUAUUUAUUUCUUUUUGGAGAGAGAGAAUAUCCCUGAAGAUGAAAGAGAGCACCAAACGCCAAAAGCUAGUCGCAGCUAAGAUUAUUAGACCCAAGUAUUUGAAGAAAAAGACGGCCAUCUGGGCUUGUAUUUUUAAAGAAUCCUGUUCUUAUCUCUCCAAUUUUCUGCAAAGUCGGAGAUCACCCACUUGACCACUAACGUUGACUCAUUGUCCAACCUUCACUUUUGGUCUUCAUCUUAAGCCUUCCCAAAAAAUUAUUGUAGUGACAAUUCUGAAGAAUCAAACACUUUACAAGUGUUCGCAUGUAGCCCAAAUAGCAUUUACUCUUGUAAGAGGAACAAUUGAUGGCGGUGGUCCGUCACCACUCCGCUUUUUUUAUUUGUAAAAAAGUUACAAUUAGAUUUAUUACAUAACUAGAUAGUGAUGAUAUUUGCCAUAAAAAUUAGAUAAAAGAACUAGCAAGUGCUAUAUAAUACUACUGCUUUUUAAUUUCAUUUAUCUUCAGAAAGCGGUCUAAUUUGUCUUUUCUGUAAUAACACGGGUUAUUUAGCUAGUAUGGAGUAUAAUAAAGGAAUCAUAUUCUUGCAGCUAGGCCUAUAACUAGGUUUAAAAAGAACCUUCUAUGAAGAAAACGGAUGUUCACAUGAAAGUUGACAGUAUUUCAUGACAUUUAACCUGAGCACCGAAGAAACCAAGCAAAUCUCAAGGAGCUCACCAAGAUCAACGCACUAAUCUCAAUAUGCAGUCAGCAUCACCGAGCCACGGAGCCAGUAUAAAUUUAGUAGCGCAGUGGAAGACAGGGACUUGAUAAGGGGAUGGGGAGAAUGAGAUUGGCCACUUGGCCUCUAUAUUAGCCUAUCUGCUUAAGGGGACAAACAGCAGAAUUUAUGUGGCUAUGGUAAACUAAAGCUUCAGACAAGCUCAUUAAAGUAAAGCUGGAAAGGUCCGUCAGUGCGGUUACUCUUAUCCACAACUAUCGGUCAACACAAAUCUAAUCCGCUUCUGGACACCGACACAAAGGUAUGGACCCUAGCAUCUUACUAUAUCC